rnacentral:tRNA from 1 species
AAAAAUUUAGUUAAACUAAUAACAAUAGCUUGUCAAGCUAUAAUCAUUACUAAAGUAAUAAUUUUUA